ACAGUUGCUGUCUUUCAAUUACAAAACUAUUCUGCCAUUACAAAUCUCUGCUGCUCGCACAAGUAUUUUCUACAAGUAUACAAAUCAUUUUGAGACUGUUCUGGCGCUUCCUGUUGAAUAGCCAAUGGCGAUCCUCAGGUUUGGCUAGCCAACCAUGAAUCUCAGUUCACUAACCAAUCACAGAGCAGGAGCAGCGCCGUCGUCGUGGCUAGUUGUGUGGGUGCAACCAAACUUGGAGUCUACGCUUGGAGCACGCUAGCAGAGAAUGUCUAAUUAAGGAACGGGCUCCGAUGCUAGUUUCCUAUAUUCCUUGAGGGCCUUCAAGAUCACUCCACUGGAUCACUGGACCAUUAUUUACAUCAGCAUGGAGAACAUGUAGCCUACCACUGAAUAGAAAAUACAUCUUCUUCCCUCCUAUAUUUGUUCUUUAAAAUGUGUUUCUUAGGUCUAUUGUAUUCUAGUCUUUGAACACCAUUAUUGUAGACUUCUCCCCUGUCCUGUCUGAUAAAUUUAAAAUUGCAUUUUUAAAUAUUAUUCCCUAAUGCUGGGAUAUGUGAACUUUAAUAAAUAAUUUUAUUCAUUA